rnacentral:rRNA from 1 species
AUUGAACGCUGGCGGCAGGCUUAACACAUGCAAGUCGAGCGGGGAAAGGUAGCUUGCUACCUAACCUAGCGGCGGACGGGUGAGUAAUGCUUAGGAAUCUGCCUAUUAGUGGGGGACAACAUCUCGAAAGGGAUGCUAAUACCGCAUACGUCCUACGGGAGAAAGCAGGGGACCUUCGGGCCUUGCGCUAAUAGAUGAGCCUAAGUCGGAUUAGCUAGUUGGUGGGGUAAAGGCCUACCAAGGCGACGAUCUGUAGCGGGUCUGAGAGGAUGAUCCGCCACACUGGGACUGAGACACGGCCCAGACUCCUACGGGAGGCAGCAGUGGGGAAUAUUGGACAAUGGGGGGAACCCUGAUCCAGCCAUGCCGCGUGUGUGAAGAAGGCCUUUUGGUUGUAAAGCACUUUAAGCGAGGAGGAGGCUACCGAGAUUAAUACUCUUGGAUAGUGGACGUUACUCGCAGAAUAAGCACCGGCUAACUCGGUG